rnacentral:rRNA from 1 species
GAUGAACGCUGGCGGCGUGCUUAACACAUGCAAGUCGAACGGGAAACCUUUUAUUGAAGCUUCGGCAGAUUUAGCUGGUUUCUAGUGGCGGACGGGUGAGUAACGCGUGGGUAACCUGCCCUAUACAGGGGGAUAACAACCAGAAAUGGUUGCUAAUACCGCAUAAGCGCACAGGGCCGCAUGGUCCGGUGUGAAAAACUCCGGUGGUAUAGGAUGGACCCGCGUUGGAUUAGCCAGUUGGCAGGGUAACGGCCUACCAAAGCGACGAUCCAUAGCCGGCCUGAGAGGGUGAACGGCCACAUUGGGACUGAGACACGGCCCAGACUCCUACGGGAGGCAGCAGUGGGGAAUAUUGCACAAUGGGGGAAAGCCUGAUGCAGCGACGCCGCGUGAAGGAAGAAGUAUCUCGGUAUGUAAACUUCUAUCAGCAGGGAAGAUAGUGACGGUACCUGAAGAAGAAGCCCCGGCUAACUACGUG